rnacentral:piRNA from 1 species
UGCGCUGAGACUCUGAAAAGAAGAUAUGUG